rnacentral:rRNA from 1 species
CUACGGGAUGCUGCAGUGAGGAAUAUUGCACAAUGGGGGGAACCCUGAUGCAGCAGCGCCGCGUGGAGGAUGACGCAUUUCGGUGUGUAAACUCCUUUUAUAUGUCAAGAAAAUGACGGUAGCAUAUGAAUAAGCACCGGCUAACUCCGUGCCAGCAGCCGCGGUAAUACGGAGGGUGCAAGCGUUACUCGGAAUCACUGGGCGUAAAGGACGCGUAGGCGGGUUGGAAAGUCAGGUGUGAAAUCCUACAGCUUAACUGUAGAACUGCACUUGAAACUUCUAAUCUAGAGUAUGGGAGGGGGAGAUGGAAUUAGUGGUGUAGGGGUAAAAUCCGUAGAUAUCACUAGGAAUACCUAAAGCGAAGGCGAUCUCCUGGAACAUUACUGACGCUAUGGCGUGAAAGCGUGGGGAGCAAACAGGAUUAGAUACCCUCGUAGUC